GUCUAUGGCCAUGCCACCCUUAAUAAGCCCGAUCCCAUCUGAUCUCAGAAGCUAAGCAGGGUUGGACCUAGUUAGUACUUGGAUGGGAGACCACCUAGGAAACAACAGGCAUUAUGGAGC
rnacentral:rRNA from 1 species